rnacentral:rRNA from 1 species
UAAGCUAUUAUACCGUGAAACUGCGAAUGGCUCAUUAAAUCAGUUAUCGUUUAUUUGAUAAUACCUUACUACUUGGAUAACCGUGGUAAUUCUAGAGCUAAUACAUGCUGAAAAUCCCGACUUCGGAAGGGAUGUGUUUAUUAGAUAAAAAACCAAUGCCCUUCGGGGCUCUUUGGUGAUUCAUGAUAACUUUACGGAUCGCAUAGCCUUGCGCUGGCGACGGUUCAUUCAAAUUUCUGCCCUAUCAACUUUCGAUGGUAAGGUAUUGGCUUACCAUGGUUUCAACGGGUAACGGGGAAUUAGGGUUCGAUUCCGGAGAGGGAGCCUGAGAAACGGCUACCACAUCCAAGGAAGGCAGCAGGCGCGCAAAUUAUCCAAUCCCGACACGGGGAGAUAGUGACAAUAAAUACUGAUACAGGGCUCUUUUGGGUCUUGUAAUUGGAAUGAGUACAAUUUAAACCUCUUAACGAGGAACAAUUGGAGGGCAAGUCUGGUGCCAGCAGCCGCGGUAAUUCCAGCUCCAAUAGCGUAUAUUAAAGUUGUUGCAGUUAAAAAGCUCGUAGUUGAAACUUGGGCCUGGCUGGCGGGUCCGCCUCACCGCGUGCACUCGUCCGGCCGGGCCUUCCUUCUGAAGAACCUCAUGCCCUUCACUGGGCGUGUUGGGGAAUCAGGACUUUUACUUUGAAAAAAUUAGAGUGUUCAAAGCAGGCCUUUGCUCGAAUACGUUAGCAUGGAAUAAUAAAAUAGGGCGUGCGUUUCUAUUUUGUUGGUUUCUAGAGACGCCGCAAUGAUUAACAGGAACAGUCGGGGGCAUCAGUAUUCCGUUGUCAGAGGUGAAAUUCUUGGAUUUACGGAAGACUAACUACUGCGAAAGCAUUUGCCAAGGAUGUUUUCAUUAAUCAGUGAACGAAAGUUAGGGGAUCGAAGACGAUCAGAUACCGUCGUAGUCUUAACCGUAAACUAUGCCGACUAGGGAUCGGGCGAUGUUCUUUUUCUGACUCGCUCGGCACCUUACGAGAAAUCAAAGUUUUUGGGUUCUGGGGGGAUUAUGGUCGCAAGGCUGAAACUUAAAGAAAUUGACGGAAGGUCACCACCAGGCGUGGAGCCUGCGGCUUAAUUUGUCUCAACACGGGGAAACUCACCAGGUCCAGAUGAAAUAAGGAUUGACAGAUUGAGAGCUCUUUCUUGAUUUUUCAGGUGGUGGUGCAUGGCCGUUCUUAGUUCGUGGGGUGACUUGUCUGCUUAAUUGCGAUAACGAGCGAGACCUUACUCUGCUAAAUAGCCCGGCUAGCUUUGGCUGGUCGCCGGCUUCUUAGAGAGACUAUCAACUCAAGUUGAUGGAAGUUUGAGGCAAUAACAGGUCUGUGAUGCCCUUAGAUGUUCUGGGCCGCACGCGCGCUACACUGACAGAGCCAACGAGUUCUUUACCUUGUUCGAAAGAAUUGGGCAAUCUUGUUAAACUCUGUCGUGCUGGGGAUAAAGCAUUGCAAUUAUUGCUUUUCAACGAGGAAUGCCUAGUAAGCGCGUGUCAUCAGCAUGCGUUGAUUACGUCCCUGACCUUUGUACACACCGCCCGUCGCUACUACCGAUUGAAUGGCUCAGUGAGGCUUUCGGACUGGCUCGGGGAGGUUGGCAACGACCACCCCAAGCCGGAAAGUAUCCAAA